rnacentral:rRNA from 1 species
AUGGAGGCCGCCGCGUCCCCUCUGCUCCUCUCCGCCGACGCGCCCCUCGCCGCCGGCCGCCGCCUCCUCCUCGUCCCUUCUCGGCCCGCGCGCGCCCCACGGCGGGGCGCCGCGCCCAGCAGGUGCCGGCGGGCGUCCGUCCGCGCGUACGCCGCGGCCGCCGCGCCAGCGCCGGCCUCUGGAAACGGCCUCGUCGGGAAUAACAACGGAGUGUACACUGUUGGAGACUUCAUGACGAAAAAGGAGGAUCUCCAUGUCGUCAAAGUGUCAACCCCGGUCGAUGAAGCGCUCGAGAUGCUGGUGCAGAACAGGAUCUCUGGUUUCCCUGUUAUCGAUGACGACUGGAAGUUGGUUGGCGUUGUCUCAGAUUAUGAUCUAUUAGCUUUGGACUCAAUGGCAGGAUGUGGACUGGCUGAUACAAAUUCAAGUAUGUUCCCUGAAGUAGAUAGCACUUGGAAGACAUUUCGCGAGAUCCAGAGACUCUUGAGCAAAACCAGUGGCAAAGUUAUCGGUGAUGUUAUGACUCCUUCACCUCUUGUGGUGCGUGAAACAACUAACCUCGACGCUGCUGCAAGGUUGCUGCUUGAAACCAAAUACCACAGAUUGCCUGUUGUUGAUAGCACGGGAAAUUUGGUUGGGAUGAUCACAAGGGGGAAUGUCGUCAGAGCUGCUCUCAAAAUAAAGAAGAAAGCUGAAGGUGCUUAA